AGUCAGCCGAGUUUGGUGUCAGCGACUGGGGUUGCCACGCGAGGCUGCCGGCGAGAAACAAGAGACCCUACUCUGCUCCAGCAGGAUCCAGAGACACGGAAUCCGACUACCUCUCCACGCUCAGUAUCCUCUCUUCUGGGCCAGUUUACGGAAGAGCAGCUUGUAUCCCAGCCGGGGGCGGGAGUGUGGACAGCGAAGCAGUAUGAGCACAAAGAGUUCUAGGCCAACCUCUGCUUCCUACUGGCAACAGGAGACACUAUCUUUAAAAAAACGUGUAUGGAAGAAUCUGUAUACACAAUAGUACCCUGUGUUCCUCUGUCCUUUUACCCCCCACCUUUCUGAUAUUUCCCCGUCCACCCUCCAAAAAAGUUACUCAACAAAU
rnacentral:lncRNA from 1 species